UGAGAAGCCCGGGCGGCCGCUCCGAACAAGCUGCGAGUCAGCGAAGUCGGGGAGGAAAGUCCGGACUCCACGGGUCAGGGUGGUUGUCAACGGCAACCGAGCGCGAGCUCAGGGACAGUGCCACAGAAAACAAACCGCCGGCGGCUCUCGGGUCGUCGGUAAGGGUGAAAUGGUGCGGUAAGAGCGCACCGCGGAUGUGGUGACACAUCCGGCAGGGCAAACCCCACCCGGAGAAAGAUCAAAUAGGGAAGGUGAUGGCGACGACCCGCGCCGAGCACCUUCCGGGUAGAUCGUUCGAGGCCGGCCGCGAGGUCGGUCCCAGAGAAAUGGCCGCCGCUGCGAAAGCGGGACAGAAUCCGGCUUACAGGGCUUCUCACGUC
rnacentral:RNase_P_RNA from 1 species